rnacentral:misc_RNA from 1 species
AUGUUCUGAUACAAUAAU